CCUACGGGGGGCAGCAGUGGGGAAUAUUGGACAAUGGGCGAAAGCCUGAUCCAGCAAUGCCGCGUGAAUAAUGAAGGCCUUAGGGUUGUAAAGUUCUUUUAGUAGGGAAGAUAAUGACGGUACCUACAGAAAAAGCCCCGGCUAACUCCGUGCCAGCAGCCGCGGUAAGACGGAGGGGGCUAGCGUUGUUCGGAAUUACUGGGCGUAAAGAGCGCGUAGGCGGUUUGGUAAGUUGGAAGUGAAAUCCCGGGGCUUAACCUCGGAAUUGCUUUCAAAACUGCCAAUCUAGAGUGUAGUAGGGGAUGAUGGAAUUCCUAGUGUAGAGGUGAAAUUCUUAGAUAUUAGGAGGAACACCGGUGGCGAAGGCGGUCAUCUGGGCUACAACUGACGCUGAUGCGCGAAAGCGUGGGGAGCAAACAGGAUUAGAUACCCCUGUAGUC
rnacentral:rRNA from 1 species